rnacentral:sRNA from 1 species
AUCUUCCGGUAGCCUGGAUUUCGUAUGAUACGGAUUCAGCAUUCAAAUAAAUUCUAACUUGAUAUACUUAAACUUUUCAAAGAAAUUUGAAGAUUGGAACCCUACUGCCAAAAAAAAGAUGAUAAAAACGGACUCCAAAUAUUGCCAGGCGGGAGAUCGUUUCAAAGCUGGGACGAAACAUCAAAGAUGUGGACACAGGAACAAACAUCAAAUUACCCUGUCAUGUGCUACAAAUUUGGAGUGUAGAUUUGAAAUUAAGAUAUGAUAGAGUGAGAGAUAAAUUAGUGUAGUGUCCUGUCCAAUAACAUCACCGAGCUUGUAAGAUGUCCGGGACUAACAAUGCGUCGCCUCAGUGUGCCCGUCAUCGCCUGGAAUUUACCUUCAGUUGCAGACAUCCGCCCUACGGACACCGGACUGCAUGCUGGGAUCUUGACGAUCUUAGUGACUUCUGCGUUUUCUUUAUCGCUGUUAUAAACAUGUUAAAUCCCAAAAUGAGUGUCAUUAGCAGGCACAUAAAGACAGUUAUAAUUGUUUGGUUUUUAUGGAAACUGAUAGCUCAAACUCAUUAAGAUUACAAGGCGUCUUCAAGCUAAAUGCUUAGCGUUGUUUGCUAGAAAAUAUUUGAACAAACUUCUAGUUCAACGUGGUAUUAUUUGAUGCAUUUGUGUAGAGAUCUGUUUAACAAAUAUUAUAUUUGUUAAAUAAUUACAUUCCAUGCAGUUGGGGAUCAAUUUUUUUUAUUUUAAUUUUGUGAUAACAAAGUUUAGCAGCAGUGAAUUGAAUUCUUUUUUUAAAAGGUUCUUAUGGUUUUUCUGACCUAAUACUGAAACCAAUGAAACAAAGUAGUAUUUUGAUAGAUUAAUAUUGAAAGGUAAAAAGCCUUUUUUGUUUCUUGUAUUAGAAGAAAUGUCAUUGUGUACUUUUUUGUAUGAUUUACUGCGCGUUUGUGAUAAAAAAAAAUGUGAAAGUCUGUGAAAUAAACUUAUCCAGUACAUUUUU